rnacentral:rRNA from 1 species
GCGUCAGUCGCAAGAUGAAGCGUUGAAUUGGAGCCGAGUAAACGGCGGCCGUAACUAUAACGGUCCUAAGGUAGCGAAAUUCCUUGUCGGUUAAAUACCGACCUGCAUGAAUGGCGUAACGAGAUGGGAGCUGUCUCAACCAGAGAUUCAGUGAAAUUGUAGUGGAGGUGAAAAUUCCUCCUACCCGCGGCAAGACGGAAAGACUCCGUGGACCUUUACUACAACUUAGCACUG